ensembl:lncRNA
GCCCGCGGGCCGCACGGCCCGAGCCGGGAGCCGGCGCUGCAGCGCUGCUGCCUUACGGCACGCCGAGAGACUCCCAGCACAUUCCAGCAGCACCAGCUCCCCCGUGGCCAGCAGCUACCAAUGUCAUCAGGACAACAGCGGGAGAAGCAAUGGCUCUCUGGCGAUGCUCUGUGCUCUGUGCCUGGCCAGGCCAGGUGGUUCCUGUGGCACACUGUGUGCCUGCCCAGGCAGCCCCUGCAGGGACAGGGCAUGAGGAGGCGGCUCAGCUCACACCCGCCCUGUUCUGUCUUGGGGACACAGCAGUACACACAGCCACCAAUACAUCACGCUGCUCCAGGUCUCUGCCACCAUGUAAAAGGCCAUUGCUGACUACCAGUGUGACAGCAUCUUGACGUGGGCUUAAGCCUGGAGGAACACAGCAAGGAGCCCAAGUGACAGCGGCAUUAGCCAGUGCUUCUGGGCCAGGACAAAGGCUCCUGAGUCCAUUCCACCAGUGGCUCCCACUCCAGCCACUGAGCCGAGUGACACCUCCAAGUCACAAAGAACUGCACAAGAUGAAUUCGGGCACCCCACAGCCCAUCCUCUUCCUUACAAGAGCCAGAGGUCAGCACAACAAGAGCCUGCUUGAGCCCAGGCUCUUUGCGACACCAUCUGCUGCUACAGACGUGCCACCUCCCUGGCCCCAUAUAUAGGUCAGGUCUGUCACAGGAUUAGCUGGGGCGAUUGGAGUGAUAUGAGGAAGGCUCCCACUGGAGGCAGGCUUUCCCCCAGCCUCUCCUGAACACUCAGCAUGCCACUGGCUUCCAGACAUACUCUCCCCAGCCUCUCCACCAAGUCCAGGAGAGAUCCUCCCCUCCCCACCAUCUGCAAAACAAGAAAGAAGAAACUGGUACCAAGCACCAAGGAGUUCCCAGCCUUCAGGGAGGGACAGCAGGAGAAUCCCCACCCUAUCCAAAACCUGACAGAGACCAGGUGACGUGGGACACCCCAACAUCAGCAGGUGCUGCACGGCGAGGUGCUUUCCUGCUGGGGAGAGGAGCUCCCUCCCUGCUUUGCACACCUUGGUGGAGCUGAGUUCGCUGGCAGAGGAGGCAAGGACGCCUUCGCUGCGAUCGCACACCACCCACUCACACCCCCGGGCUGCCAGCACUCCCAUCAAAC